CCCUUAGAUGUUCUGGGCCGCACGCGCGCUACACUGACGAAGUCAGCGAGCAUGUCCUACGCCGACAGGUGCGGGGAAUCUUGUCAAACUUCGUCGUGAUGGGGAUUGAUUAUUGAAAUUCUUGAUCAUCAACGAGGAAUUCCUAGUAAGCGCAAGUCAGCAGCUUGCGUUGAUUACGUCCCUGCCCUUUGUACACACCGCCCGUCGCACCUACCGAUUGAAUGGUCCGGUGAAAUCUUUGGACCGUGACAUAGUUUUGCUUUCGGGCAAAACGUUGUCGUGGGAAGUUGAUUAAACCUUACCAUUUAGAGGAAGGUGAAGUCGUAACA
rnacentral:rRNA from 1 species